AGUGAACGCUGGCGGUAGGCCUAACACAUGCAAGUCGAACGGCAGCACAGUAAGAGCUUGCUCUUACGGGUGGCGAGUGGCGGACGGGUGAGGUAUACAUCGGAAUCUACUUUUUCGUGGGGGAUAACGUAGGGAAACUUACUCUAAUACCGCAUACGACCUACGGGUGAAAGCAGGGGAUCUUCGGACCUUGCGCGAUUGAAUGAGCCGAUGUCGGAUUAGUUAGUUGGCGGGUUAAAGGCCCACCAAGGGGCCGAUGCGUAGCUGGUCUGAGAGGAUGAUAGGCCACACUGGAGCUGAGACACGGUACAGACUCCUACGGGAGGCAGCAGUGGGGAAUAUUGGGCAAUGGGCGCAAGCCUGGUCCAGCCAUACCGCGUGGGUGAAGAAGGCCUUCGGGUUGUAAAGCCGUUUUGUUGGGAAAGAAAAGCAGCAGGUUAAUACCACGCUGUUCUGACGGUAACCAAAGAAUAAGCACCGGCUAACUUCGUG
rnacentral:rRNA from 1 species